AUGGCAGUCAAAGACGAGCAGCAGCAGCCGCCGCUGCACAUCCUCUUCUUCCCGUUCCCAGCCCACGGCCACCUCAUUCCUAUCGCCGACAUGGCUGCGCUCUUCGCCGCCCGCGGCGUCAGGUGCACCAUCCUCACCACGCCCGUCAACGCUGCCAUCAUGCGCUCGGCCGUCGACCGUGCCAACGACGCUUUUGCCGGCACCGACUCCCCGACGAUCGAUAUCUCCGUCGUGCCUUUCCCAGACGUCGGGCUCCCGCCGGGCGUCGAGAACGGCACGGCCAUUAAAUCCCAGGGCGACCGCGGCAAGUUCUUUGAGGCGGCGCAGCUGCUCCGGGAGCCGUUCGACCGGUUCUUGUUUGACAACCGCCCCGACGCGGUCGUGUCCGACAGUUUAUUCCCGUGGUCCGUGGACGCCGCCGCGGAGCACGGCGUCCCGCGCCUCGCGUUCCUCGGUAGCAGCAUGUUCGCGCUGUCCUGCGUCGACAGCAUGCUCCGCAACAACCCGUUGGCGACUGUCCCCGACGACCCCGACGCCCUCGUUUCCUUGCCGGGCCUGCCGCACCGUGUCGAGCUGAGGCGCAGCCAGUUGAUGGACCCCACGAACCAGGCGGAACACUGGGGCUGGGCGUUCUUCGAGGGCCUGAACGCCGCGGACCAGAGGAGCUUCGGCGAGGUGUUCAACAGCUUCCACGAGCUGGAGCCGGACUACGUCGAGCACUACCGCACGACGCUUGGCCGGCGCGCGUGGCUCGUCGGGCCGGUGGCACUCGCCACCAAGGACAUGGCUGGGAGAGGCACCGACGCGCUCUCGCCGGACGCGGACAACUGCAUUGAGUGGCUGGACAUGAAGCCGGCCGGCUCGGUGGUGUACGUCUCCUUCGGCACGCUAACCAGCUUCUCGCCGGCGGAGCUGCACGAGCUCGCCCGCGGACUCGAGCUCUCAGGCAUGAAUUUCGUGUGGGUGAUCGGCGCCGCAUGCCCAGACUCUUCAGAGUGGAUGCCCGAAGGCUUCGCCGAACUGGUGGCACACGGCGACCGCGGGUUCAUCAUCCGAGGCUGGGCGCCGCAGAUGCUCAUCCUGAACCACCCUGCCGUCGGCGGGUUCCUGACGCACUGCGGCUGGAACUCGACGCUGGAGGCCGUGAGCGCCGGUGUGCCGAUGGUCACGUGGCCGCGGUAUGCAGAUCAGUUCAACAACGAGAAGGUUAUCGUGGAGUUGCUCAAGGUGGGCGUCAGCAUCGGCGCAAGGACUACGCAUCGUGUGUGGAGGCCCACGAGGUGA
rnacentral:rRNA from 1 species